rnacentral:rRNA from 1 species
AGAGUUUGAUCCUGGCUCAGAAUGAACGCUGGCGGCGUGUUUAAGACAUGCAAGUCGUACGGAGUAACAUGAGUAGCAAUACAAGUGUUGCUCAGUGGCGCACGGGUGCGUAACACGUGAGUUACAUGCCCUGCAGAGAGGGAUAGCCCAGGGAAACUUGGAUUAAUACCUCAUGGUCCCGCAAGGGUAAAGGUGGCGAAAGCUGCCGCUGCAGGAUUGGCUCGCGGCCUAUCAGCUAGUUGGUGAGGUAACGGCUCACCAAGGCGACGACGGGUACCUGGUCUGAGAGGACGAUCAGGCACACUGGAACUGAGACACGGUCCAGACACCUACGGGUGGCAGCAGUCGAGAAUCAUUCACAAUGGGGGCAACCCUGAUGGUGCAACGCCGCGUGGAGGAAGAAGGUCUUCGGAUUGUAAACUCCUGUCAUCUAGGAGCAAGGCAUGGUGGUGAAUAGCCAACAUGAUUGAUAGUACUAGAAGAGGAAGGGACGGCUAACUUCGUGCCAGCAGCCGCGGUAAUACGAAGGUCCCGAGCGUUAUUCGGAAUCACUGGGCGUAAAGGGAGCGUAGGCGGCGUGGAAAGUCAGAUGUGAAAUCCCAGAGCUUAACUCUGGAACUGCAUCCGAUACUACCAUGCUAGAGUAUUGGAGGGGUAACUGGAAUUCUCGGUGUAGCAGUGAAAUGCGUAGAUAUCGAGAGGAACACUCGUGGCGAAAGCGAGUUACUGGACAAUUACUGACGCUGAGGCUCGAAAGCUAGGGGAGCAAAAGGGAUUAGAUACCCCUGUAGUCCUAGCAG